AUGCACGCUGGCGGCGUGCCUCAUCCAUGCAAGUCGCGCGAACAGACGAGGAGCUUGCUCCUCUGACGUUAGCGGCGGACGGGUGAGUAACACGUGGAUAACCUACCUAUAAGACUGGGAUAACUUCGGGAAACCGGAGCUAAUACCGGAUAAUAUAUUGAACCGCAUGGUUCAAUAGUGAAAGACGGUUUUGCUGUCACUUAUAGAUGGAUCCGCGCCGCAUUAGCUAGUUGGUAAGGUAACGGCUUACCAAGGCAACGAUGCGUAGCCGACCUGAGAGGGUGAUCGGCCACACUGGAACUGAGACACGGUCCAGACUCCUACGGGAGGCAGCAGUAGGGAAUCUUCCGCAAUGGGCGAAAGCCUGACGGAGCAACGCCGCGUGAGUGAUGAAGGUCUUCGGAUCGUAAAACUCUGUUAUUAGGGAAGAACAAAUGUGUAAGUAACUAUGCACGUCUUGACGGUACCUAAUCAGAAAGCCACGGCUAACUACGUG
rnacentral:rRNA from 1 species